GGUCGCGAUCGCGAAGAAUUAACUUCUGAGACACUUCUGCGCGAUAAAACGGCGGUUGAACACAUUUUACAAAAACAAAAUAUACAUAUAACGCGUAGAAGUCACUUCUAAGUCACUUCUGGACGAUAGAAAGGCGAUAGCACACAUUUUACAAAAACAAAAAGGGUCGGGAUAGCGAAGAAGUAACUUCUGAGACACUUCUGCGCGAUAGAAAGACGAUAGUACACAUUUUACAAAAACAAAAUAUACACGUGUCGCGUAGAAGUAACUUCUAAGUCACUUCUUGACGAUAGAAAGACGAUAGUACACAUUUUACAAAAACAAAAAGAGUCGCGAUCGCGAAGAAUUAACUUCUGAGACACUUCUGCGCGAUAAAACGGCGGUUGAACACAUUUUACAAAAACAAAAUAUACAUAUAACGCGUAGAAGUCACUUCUAAGUCACUUCUGGACGAUAGAAAGGCGAUAGCACACAUUUUACAAAAACAAAAAGGGUCGGGAUCGCGAAGAAGUAACUUCUAAGACACUUCUGCGCGAUAGAAAGACGAUAGUACACAUUUUACAAAAACAAAAGAAAUGGAAAAAAACAAGCCAAAAAAAAUUUUUUGGUCUUCCUUUUGACCUACGCUAUUAUUUUUCGCCCGAGCGUCAUUUCGUUGCGCGAUUUUUCUGUGUACAGUGCGGUUUUGUAUCAAUUUUGUGCGUUUAAAAAUAUUGAUUUGUUUUUCUAAAUGUUAUUGAUUGCUUAACAUAUUUAAAUAUCCCCCUCAACAAAGGGUGUGAAAUUACGUGCUUAUCGUGAGCUGUACGAUUAUUUAAAGCUAUUUACGGACAAGCUAGCUGUGGACAUUACUUGGCGUGUAACUGCGGAUCCAACGAUUCUCAACAUACUUCAUUGUAAAAGAAAUGGUUAUUAAUAAAUUUCAUAUGUCGACGGAGCUGCACCUAAAUAACAUUGAUCAGCAAAAUUUCCUACAUGCCAGUGACCGUGUAUACAAGCGGACAAAGCCCUUAUACACAAAAUAAAUGCAAAAUAUUGAAAGUAUAA